CAGGACUGGUGUGGUAUACCAUCUAUAUCGGAGUAUCAGUGGGAGGCGCUGUGGUUCUGAUUCUUAUUGUAGCUGUGGCAGUGUGCUACUGCAGGGGCCAAAGUAUCACGGAAGAUCAAACUGACAACACAAUAUAUGCUGAUGUUAUGAUCAACACAAGAAGUAGAGAUACAAGAUCAAACAGUCAUGUGAACCCAAUAUCCAUCUAUGAAACGGUCAAUGAUCUGGUUAUCCCAAGAUUGAACAAGG